rnacentral:rRNA from 1 species
UAGGGAAUCUUCGGCAAUGGACGGAAGUCUGACCGAGCAACGCCGCGUGAGUGAAGAAGGUUUUCGGAUCGUAAAGCUCUGUUGUAAGAGAAGAACGAGUGUGAGAGUGGAAAGUUCACACUGUGACGGUAUCUUACCAGAAAGGGACGGCUAACUACGUGCCAGCAGCCGCGGUAAUACGUAGGUCCCGAGCGUUGUCCGGAUUUAUUGGGCGUAAAGCGAGCGCAGGCGGUUAGAUAAGUCUGAAGUUAAAGGCUGUGGCUUAACCAUAGUACGCUUUGGAAACUGUUUAACUUGAGUGCAAGAGGGGAGAGUGGAAUUCCAUGUGUAGCGGUGAAAUGCGUAGAUAUAUGGAGGAACACCGGUGGCGAAAGCGGCUCUCCGGCUUGUAACUGACGCUGAGGCUCGAAAGCGUGGGGAGCAAACAGGAUUAGAUACCCUGGUAGUCCACGCCGUAAACGAUGAGUGCUAGGUGUUAGACCCUUUCCGGGGUUUAGUGCCGCAGCUAACGCAUUAAGCACUCCGCCUGGGGAGUACGACCGCAAGGUUG